rnacentral:snRNA from 1 species
AUACUUACCUGGCAGGGGAGAUACCAUGAUCAUGAAGGUGGUUUUCCCAGGGUGAGGCUCACCCAUUGCGCUCCUGGUGUGCUGACCCUGUGAUUUCCCCAAAUGUGGGAAACUCGACUGCAUAAUUUGUGGUAGUGGGGGACUGCGUUCAUGCUCUCCCCUG